rnacentral:rRNA from 1 species
AUUGAACGCUGGCGGCAGGCCUAACACAUGCAAGUCGAGCGGUAGCACAGAGAGCUUGCUCUCGGGUGACGAGCGGCGGACGGGUGAGUAAUGUCUGGGAAACUGCCUGAUGGAAGGGGAUAACUACUGGAAACGGUAGCUAAUACCGCAUAAUGUCGCAAGACCAGAGGGGGGGACCUUCGGGCCUCAUGCCAUCAGAUGUGCCCAGAUGGGAUUAGCUAGUAGGUGGGGUAACGGCUCACCUAGGCGACGAUCCCUAGCUGGUCUGAGAGGAUGACCAGCCACACUGGAACUGAGACACGGUCCAGACUCCUACGGGAGGCAGCAGUGGGGAAUAUUGCGCAAUGGGCGCAAGCCUGAUGCAGCCAUGCCGCGUGUGUGAAGAAGGCCUUCGGGUUGUAAAGCACUUUCAGCGGGGAGGAAGGCGUUAAGGUUAAUAACCUUGGCGAUUGACGUUACCCGCAGAAGAAGCACCGGCUAACUCCGUGCCAGCCGCCGCGGUAA